rnacentral:lncRNA from 1 species
AGGAAAGGAACAUAUGCCACGAUCUCAGAUUAGAUCCAGAGCUAAUUAUUUGACAAGUGCCAAAGCAAAUCUGCUGACAUCUAAUCUGAUUGGUCUGUGCCUAAGUUCUACAAACUGCAUCUGGUUUAUGUCCUAGUUUUCCUGGGAAAUAUCCAAAAAAGUCUGCAAGAAUAAGUACGUAUCAGGUGAAAGUACUAAGUCCACAAUGUUUUAAGAACAUCUUAUGACAGCUUACCAA